GAUGAACGCUGGCGGCGUGCCUAAUACAUGCAAGUCGAGCGAACGGACGAGAAGCUUGCUUCUCUGAUGUUAGCGGCGGACGUGUGAGUAACACGUGGAUAACCUACCUAUAAGACUGGGAUAACUUCGGGAAACCGGAGCUAAUACUGGAUAAUAUUUUGAACCGCAUGGUUCAAAAGUGAAAGACGGUCUUGCUGUCACUUAUAGAUGGAUCCGCGCUGCAUUAGCUAGUUGGUAAGGUAACGGCUUACCAAGGCAACGAUGCAUAGCCGACCUGAGAGGGUGAUAGGCCACACUGGAAGUGGGACACGGUCCAGACGCCUACGGGAGGGAGCAGUAGGGAAUCGUCCGCAAUGGGCGAAAGCCUGACGGAGCAACGCCGAGUGAGUGAUGAAGGUCUUCGGAUCGUAAAACUCGGUUAUUAGGGAAGAACAUAUGUGUAAGUAACUGUGCACAGCUUGACGGUACCGAAUCAGAAAGCCACGGCUAACUACGUG
rnacentral:rRNA from 1 species